rnacentral:lncRNA from 1 species
AUCUGGCUUGAUGUAAGAAUAGGUAGCUAGAAUGAGUAAGCCACCCCCUGGGAAGUCUCCAGAGCCUAACCAACCGCAGACCCCUGGAGACAGAGAUGAGCAAUGAAGCCCAUUACGACAGGAUCUGGGAUCGUCUAGGAGAUGAGAUUCCAGGCACCACUGCGAGGGACUUUCUCGAUUGGGUUAAUUGAGGUGGGCAGUGCCAUGCCAUGAGCUGGGGUCCUGGAAUGAACGAAAGAGGAGACAAAAUGAGCACCAGCAUCCAUCUCCAUCUCCUCCUGGCUGUGGAUGCAGCGUGACCUCGUGCUCCUGCGGCACCAGCAUCCAUCUCCAUCUCCUCCUGGCUGUGGAUGCAGCGCGACCUCGUGCUCCUGCGGCCACAGCUCUGCCAUGACUGACUGUAGCUCACACUCUUGAGCUAAAUUAAACCCUCUGUUCUUAAGUUCCUGUGGUAUUUGAAUGAAAAAUCAUAUGCCCCACCAAAGCUCAUAUAUUUGAAUGCUUGGCUGGUGAUGCUUGGUGGAACUCUUAG